UACGAAGGGGGCUAGCGUUGCUCGGAAUGACUGGGCGUAAAGGGCGCGUAGGCGGAUGGUACAGUCAGAUGUGAAAUUCCCGGGCUUAACCUGGGGGCUGCAUUUGAUACGUGUUGUCUAGAGUGAGGAAGAGGGUCGUGGAAUUCCCAGUGUAGAGGUGAAAUUCGUAGAUAUUCGGAAGAACACCAGUGGCGAAGGCGGCUCACUGGCCCGUUACCGACGCUCAGGCGCGACAGCGUGGGGAGCAAACAGG
rnacentral:rRNA from 1 species